GAUGAACGCUGGCGGCGUGCCUAACACAUGCAAGUCGAACGGAGUUAUUAUUAUGAAGUUUUCGGAUGGAUUAAUAAUAACUUAGUGGCGGACGGGUGAGUAACGCGUGGGUAACCUGCCUCAUACAGGGGGAUAACAGUUGGAAACGGCUGCUAAAACCGCAUAACAUUGCGAUGUCGCAUGACAAUGCAAUUAAAUAUUAUAGGUAUGAGAUGGGCCCGCGUCUGAUUAGCUAGUUGGUGGGGUAAUGGCCUACCAAGGCGACGAUCAGUAGCCGGCUUGAGAGAGUGACCGGCCACAUUGGGACUGAGACACGGCCCAAACUCCUACGGGAGGCAGCAGUGGGGAAUAUUGCACAAUGGGGGAAACCCUGAUGCAGCGACGCCGCGUGAGUGAAGAAGUAUUUCGGUAUGUAAAGCUCUAUCAGCAGGGAAGAAAAUGACGGUACCUGACUAAGAAGCCCCGGCUAACUACGUGCCAGCCGCCGCGGUAA
rnacentral:rRNA from 1 species